AGAGUUUGAUUCUGGCUCAGGAUGAACGCUAGCGACAGGCUUAACACAUGCAAGUCGAGGGGCAGCAUAAAAGUAGCAAUACUUGGUGGCGACCGGCGCACGGGUGAGUAACGCGUAUGCAACCUACCUAUCAGAGGGGAAUAACCCGGCGAAAGUCGGACUAAUACCGCAUAAAACAGGGGCACCGCAUGGUGAUAUUUGUUAAAGAAAUUCGCUGAUAGAUGGGCAUGCGUUCCAUUAGGUAGUUGGUGAGGUAACGGCUCACCAAGCCGACGAUGGAUAGGGGAACUGAGAGGUUGGUCCCCCACACUGGUACUGAGACACGGACCAGACUCCUACGGGAGGCAGCAGUGAGGAAUAUUGGUCAAUGGGCGGGAGCCUGAACCAGCCAAGUCGCGUGAAGGAAGAAGGAUCUAUGGUUCGUAAACUUCUUUUGCAGGGGAAUAAAGUGCAGGACGUGUCCUGUUUUGUAUGUACCCUGAGAAUAAGGAUCGGCUAACUCCGUGCCAGCCGCCGC
rnacentral:rRNA from 1 species